ACACGACUACAUUAGAUACCCCUGUAGUCCCAGCCCUAAACGAUGCGCGUUAGGUGUAUCGGUGACCACGAGUCACCGAGGUGCCGAAGGGAAACCGUGAAACGUGCCGCCUGGGAAGUACGGUCGCAAGGCUGAAACUUAAAGGAAUUGCGGGGGAGCACCACAACGGGUGGAGCCUGCGGUUUAAUUGGACUCAACGCCGGGAAGCUCACCGGAUAAGACAGCGGAAUGAUUGCCGGGCUGAAGACCCUGCAUGACCAGCUG
rnacentral:rRNA from 1 species